GGGAGAUCGGCGACGGCGGCGUCGACUGCUGCGGGAGAUCGGCGGCGGCGGCAUUUUCGAAGAUGUUGUGCCCAGAUUGCCAUUCGUACUGCGAGAAUGACGAUGAGCAUAGCUUUGGCAUUUUCAUUCGUGACAGUUCUGGAGAUUUUGUGCACAACAUCCCAUGCACCGCAAGGAACCAGUUCAACCAGAGGAGUGGCUGGAGUUUAAAGCACACGGCCGUAGGGCAAAAUAGUGGUGUUCGACAUGUCUGCACGGAUGCCCCAGGCUUAUGUGUGUUAUGUUGGAAGUGGGCUUGCAGCAGAUCACGGGGGCGCAACACAGGACAUGACAGCAGGUGAUGUUGCACAAGGGGGUGGGGGGAAGGGGGGAGCCGGCAAUUUUGCUGUGCAUGGAGUGGAAGAGGUAAACAAUGCUGGUCACGGUGUUGAAGUUGCCCCAGACAUCAUUUAUACCAGGGGUCUUGUUCUCAGCGAUGGCGAAGCACAAAUGUUGGGCCUGGUAAUAACCAUUGAGGAUGGAUACAUUGGACCACAUUAUGUGCACCGCCUCACGCCCACGAACAUCACAAGCAAGUUUAUGAAAAUCCCCAAGAAAAUAGUUCAACCACUGAACUUUUCUAGAGAAGGGGUUAUUGGGCUUUGCAUGGUUGUAGGAGAUCUCAUGCAGCUUGGAUAUCACAUGACGGAUGGUCUUCGACAAAGAUUGGGGUGUUUUUGUAGCCCGGAACCACCUCCGGGUGGACGAUGUUGUCAUUUUCAACUCAAGCAGAGCAAUGCAUAGGGCCUCAACAUAACAUGCGUCGUCAUUGAUUUGAGACCGGCACAAGGAUAAGAGUUUUGGUGCUAGAAACAGUGUAAUAGCAUUUCCUAGAGUGGCCCUUUUUGGUGACUUAGGCUAUCCAGCUACCUUCUCUUUUUUAUGUCUUUUUGUUUUUCUGAACUAUGUAAGCAUUUGGAUGUAUGUUUUUCUGAACUAUGUAAGCACUGGGAUGGAUGUUUUUGUGGUAUGAGUGUUUUCCCAUCCACCCCCUAUGCUUUUUGUU